rnacentral:rRNA from 1 species
CCUACGUGAGGCAGCAGUGGGGAAUAUUGCACAAUGGGGGAAACCCUGAUGCAGCGACGCCGCGUGAGCGAAGAAGUAUUUCGGUAUGUAAAGCUCUAUCAGCAGGGAAGAAAAUGACGGUACCUGACUAAGAAGCUCCGGCUAAAUACGUGCCAGCAGCCGCGGUAAUACGUAUGGAGCAAGCGUUAUCCGGAUUUACUGGGUGUAAAGGGAGCGUAGGCGGUAAGGCAAGUCUGAUGUGAAAGGCCAGGGCUCAACCCUGGGACUGCAUUGGAAACUGUUUAACUGGAGUGUCGGAGAGGCAAGUGGAAUUCCUAGUGUAGCGGUGAAAUGCGUAGAUAUUAGGAGGAACACCAGUGGCGAAGGCAGCUUACCAAUCUAUAUCUGACGUUGAGGCACGAAAGCGUGGGGAGCAAACAGGAUUAGAUACCCCUGUAGUC